rnacentral:lncRNA from 1 species
UUGGAAGAUGACUCCAGCAGCCCCCAGACCUAUCUCCCUUAUCUUGAAAUCUCCUUAGUAAAGCGAGGCUUUCCAAAAUACCCCAGCAAAAGCCUCUCUGCAUCUUAUUAACUGUAGGUCAAUGGGACUUUAACCAAAUCAUAUGAACUGACAAAAGGGAAGGAGAGGAUCCCCAAACAUCUGGAAGAAGAAUGAAUGUGUGAUGUGUGUUUGGACGCUGGCAUUCUUUCAUUUUGAUGACUUGAAUCAACAGGAAGUCUGAAAGGAAAUAAAGGGGCAAACCAGCUCAUUAAAAUUCCAGAAGUCCUAAGUCCCUCAUUAUACGGCCUUGUCUGGUUUUCCACUUUCCCCUUCUCCCGCUGCUGCCUGGACCACAUACAGCAGGUGCUCAAUAAAUGCCUGUUGAAGAAAGGAGAGCUCCCCUCCGGAGCUCAGCACUCCCGCCGCUGCCCCACCUUGCUGGCCCCUUGGGGGCGCUGCUGCCUCUCAAACACUUGGCGCAGAUCUGAGCCGGCUCUCUCUGUUCCUGGGUUUUCUUGAGCAGAGCUGAGAGGCUGACAUUUCCACAAAGAGCAUCGCUGAAAAUGUGUGAGAAGCUGGGGAAAUAAACAAGGAAAAUACAUGACUCUAUAAAAUAUCCAUGUUUCCAUAUGAACUCCAGAACUCUAGUCAAGGUGGCCGAGAGAUUUGCCAGACUCAACUUUUUCUGGCUUCUGGCCACUCCUAGCUCUGUCUGCAUCUCCCCUCUCCAGCUCCACGUGGCCAGGGCUACCUGUUUUCCGUGUUGAAGGAGCUCUCUGCUGGGCACUUUCCCUACCUCCUAAGAUUGUACGAGAAAAAUCUUCCUCUUUCAUGAAUUCAAAGGCUUUGAAUUUGCCAGUCACAUGUCUGGCAGCUGGUGUCAGCUGUUGGCUGAGGCAUCUUGGUUCUGCAUGUGGCCUCUCACGUGGUUUACUGUAGACCAGCUCCCUCAUCAGUGGUCUCAGAGAGGAAGCCUCAGUGCACAAGUACUCAUUACACUUCUGCUGGCACCAGGUUUGUACAUGUACCAUUGGCCAAAGCAAGUCACAAAGCCAAGCCCAGAGUCAAUGAGGAGAGGCACACACAGAGUAAUGGAUGCAUGAUGCGCUG